UACAGAGGUCUCAAGCGUUGUUCGGAUUCAUUGGGCGUAAAGGGUGCGUAGGCGGCGGGGUAAGUCAGGUGUGAAAUCUCGGGGCUCAACCCCGAAACUGCAUUCGAUACUGCCGUGCUUGAGGACUGGAGAGGAGACUGGAAUUUACGGUGUAGCGGUGAAAUGCGUAGAUAUCGUAAGGAAGACCAGUGGCGAAGGCGGGUCUCUGGACAGUUCCUGACGCUGAGGCACGAAGGCCAGGGGAGCAAACGGG
rnacentral:rRNA from 1 species